UUCCAGACCCUUCUUAAAUAUUAUCGUGUAUACCAGCUUUAUUAUUUAGCUCUGCAAUACUGCUAAAUUGGUCAAUUACUUCCCUGCCUCCCCACCCUCCAACUGAAUUCUCACCACCCUUGAGGGAAAACAGUCUGGGUUCCCUGUGGAACAUCAUUUCUCAAAACUGUAUUUUGGGGCUUGCUUUCUCAUUUUUCCUUUCCAUUUCAGAUAUCCUUACUGCUGUCUUUGGGCUCUUUAAACACUGCCUUUUUUCCUUUUUCGAUCACACCCAAAAACUUUUCUCAAAAAUUACAUGUAAAUUUAAAAAUUUACAAAUUAAAUUUAAAAUUGAAAUUUUAAAAAUCCCGACUCUCCCUAAUUUCAGGAAGCAUGCAUUUAUUAUACAUAACAAGACGUGAAAGCCGCAAGAGUUUCAGCCUAAACACUGAAGACCCCGCGAAGUGAAUCCAGCUGCUGCUCUACAAGCAGCAACAACAACUGGGAAGCCUUCUCAGCUACACUUCGGGGCACUGGUCCAACCCCACGCAAAAUCCCUCGUUUCCCUUAGCGUGGUAAGACGGAGCCUGACCUGAGCUCCAACUGUCCUAUCUUUUUCAAAUGUUUCAAACUUACUGCCUUUGUUCAGCAGAACCACGGGCACGGUGAUGAUGGUGACAAGCGCAGCAGCACCCAGCAGUCCCAGAAGAACCUUCCACGGUGUCUGCAAGCCGAGCAGAUCAAGUCCAAUUAGAGGGAAGCGUGUGGCCCCAGUUUCCGUAGGAGGGUCGGGGCUGCUCCAGAGGCAGCAGGAUUUGCAGGAAGGAAGACUGUACACAGAGAAUAAAUAACUUGGCCAAGCCAUUCAGCUAGGAAGUUGUAGAUCCUAAAUUAAGAGUUCAAGGUCUUAAUGGCUACUCUAUGCGGCCUCUCAUAGUCUUUUCAAGGGUUUUGGAGAAGAAUAAAAGAUCAGUCAUCCACAGAUGUUUGAGUGGUUACAAUGUGCCAGCCUCCCUUCUAGGUACUGGAGAUAAAGUGGGACAAGAGAGGUGAGGUCUGGACCCUUGGCACUUUCACGAUAAAAUACACAGGUAAACAUUUGCCUUUAGGGCCCCCUGUGAUUACUUCCACUCUUGCAGAUAAGAGGAUAAGGCCUCUUCAGCUUGUUCACAGCAGCUGAAAAGCAAAGCCUCUCUGUCAGUAGAGGUAAAAGAUUAAGAAUGCAGAGUCCGAUGGGGCAUUACCACAUGAUUAUGAAUUAAUGCAAUUUUCCAUCUUUUAUUUCCAAUCCAGGCAUUGCUUUUGAACUCAGUCAUCUUUUCCCCCUUGCCCACUAGUUGCUUGUGAUACAUCAGUAUCCUCACUCACCCCCAACUCCAGAGGCUGAAACUAACUCUCCUCCUCCCUCUUCCAACUGCUGAGGAAGAUGAGUCAAUGGUGUUACUGGACCCUGUGAACUGAUGCUGUGAAGAGAGGCCAUUUAACACGGACUACGGGGAAUGGUGCCACAGGGGGCUCAGUGCUGCCCUUCACUCUCAGCAUUUUGCUCACUCAGCAUUGAUGACAGGAUGUCCCAAAAGUAACAAAAGAUGGGAGCCAGUCCUCUCAUAGCUGUUUCUUCAAUCAUCCCAUCAACAGCUCUUCAUUUAUUGAACUACCUUCCUUUUCCAAAGAGGUAAUGCUGAGAUCAGUCAGAAAGGCUUUCUGAGAAA
rnacentral:lncRNA from 10 species